rnacentral:sRNA from 1 species
UCUUUCCUUUUAUCAGCAGAUUUGUGCCCAGUGAUCCCUUCAACUGGUGCUUGUCACUUCGUUGUAAGGUUGAUUGCUGAGGCAGCUCGAUAUAUGUGGAGCCAUCUACCUUUACUGGUAAUAUGGUGUCAAUCAUCCAAUCGACAAAUCUCAGACAAACUGGUCCCCAUAAAGCCUGAGUUCGCCUUCACGGGCUUGAGCUCGGUCGACUGGGUGUACUGAAAGGCGUUACAUUCCACUUCUUUGCCGAUGAGGGCCAUUGGUCCAUGAGGUUCGAGACUAACCGUAACUUGCCUACAUUC